GGGGGCGUAGCUCAGUUGGUUAGAGCGUCUGCCUGUCACGCAGAAGGCCGCCGGUUCAAGUCCGGUCGUCCCCGCCA
rnacentral:tRNA from 1 species